CCCAAAGUGCUGGGAUUACAGGCGUGAGCCACAGCGCCCGGCCAAGAUUAACAUUCGAGUCAGUGGGCUGGGGAAGGCAGAUCCACCCUUAAUCUGGUGGGCACAAUCUAAUCAGCUGCUGGCAAUUAAAGCAGAAGAACGUGAAAAGGAGAGACAGGCCCAGCCUCCCAGCCUACAUCUUCCUCCUGUCCUGGAUGCUUCCUGGCCUCGAACAUCGGACUCCAAGUCCUUCAGUUUUGAGACUCAGACUGGCUCUCCUUGCUCCUCAGCUUGCAGACAGCCUACUGUGGGACCUUGUGAUCAUAUGGGACUUGCUCCUCCUUGUCUUCUGCCAUGAUUGUGAGGCAUCCCCAGCCAUGUGGAACUUUUUGGAGCAAUUGUGGCAGUGAGAUCAUUCCAACUCGUGGAUCACAGAUACAGCAGUGAGUUCCUGAAUCCCAAACCCAGUGGUGGUCCUCCAACUGAAUGAUUAUAGCAAAUGUUGCAGCAUCCCUCCAGGAUAACUUCAGAUUCUUGGCAUCAUUCUAGAAGGCUUAGCCCAUAAUUCAUUCCUUUGGCCCUUCCAAUAAUCAGAAAGCACAAGCUCGUGAACAUCUUGGGAAUCUGCAGGUUUGCUUAUCAUCUGUUAAAUAUUAAAAAGAGUACUUUUUAAAUGCCUAAUAAACUGGUUAAUGCAUUUAGACAGA
rnacentral:antisense_RNA from 1 species